rnacentral:sRNA from 1 species
UCUCCUCCUCCCUCUCCCCGGGCUCCUACUGGCGUGAGGUUGAGGGCGGCCCGGGGCUCGGGGCAGGCUCCGCGGCAUUCCCCUCCCCACCACGGCCCUCCGCUCAGCUGCGCUUCUCCGGAGCUGCCGUUCCUACUGUGCGAGCUGCCAGUGGCUUCGCUCUUUUCCUCCGUCCGUGGCCCGCCUGGGCGGCCUUGUUCUUGGCGCAGCAGCCAGAUAACCUUCUGUUCGGUGAUGAAAUUAUCACUAAUGGUUUUCAUUCCUGUGAAAGUGAUGAGGAGGAUAGAGCCUCACAUGCAAGCUCUAGUGACUGGACUCCGAGGCCACGGAUAGGUGUCUGUUUCAUGUGGAAUACCUGACUUCAGGUCAAGGGAUGGUAUUUAUGCUCGCCUUGCUGUAGACUUCCCAGAUCUUCCAGAUCCUCAAGCGAUGUUUGAUAUUGAAUAUUUCAGAAAAGAUCCAAGACCAUUCUUCAAGUUUGCAAAGGAAAUAUAUCCUGGACAAUUCCAACCAUCACUCUGUCACAAAUUCAUAGCCUUGUCAGAUAAGGAAGGAAAACUACUACGCAACUAUACC